GCCCUGUGGAACAUUCCGGUGGGGGACUCUGGCCAGCCCGAGCAACGUGGAUCCUGAGAGCACUCCCAGGUGAAAUUCAUCUUAGCUUCUGGGAUUGGCUCCUACUCAACAUGCAAGCACUAAUCCUCUAACAUGCAGAGACAGAGUCUCACUCUGUUGCCAGGCUGGAGUGCAAUGAUGCCAUCUCGACUCGCCGCAACCUCCACCUCCCGGGUUCCAGUGAUUUUCCUGCAUCAGCCUCCCAAGUAGCUGGGACUACAGGCACGUGCCACCACGCCCAGCUAAUUUUUGUAUUUUUAGUGGGGACAGAGUUUCACCAUGUUGGCCAAGAUGGUCUUGAUCUCUUGACCUUGUGAUCCACCCACCUCAGCUUCCCAAAGUGCUGGGAUUACAGGCAUGAGCCACUGCGCCCAGCCCAUACAUAAGAAUUUUAAGUCCAGCAUGCUACCAUAAUAUAAAAAACAUCUAGGAAAGAGAAUCAGAUAUUUUCGUUGAGUGCUUACAAUGUAUGAAUCCUUUAGCAUCAUUAUCUCAUUUAAUUUGCAAGCAAUUUUUAAGAUAGGCAUCAUGGAACACCUACAACAUGCAAAGCAGUUUUCAUUCAUGACUUCAUUUAAUCUUCCCAAUGAAUUUAUGAAGAAAGUAUUAUUUUGGCAAAUACACACAUGACAACACUAAAACUCAAAUUAGAGAAUUUUCUAAAGAUCAAACAAGUUUAAAGUGCCAAAUUUAGGAUUCCAACUAUUUCUCUGUGUCAGGCCUUUGAGCCCAAGCUAAGCCAUCAUAUCCCCUGUGACCUGCACGUACACAUCCAGAUGGCCAGUUCCUGCCUUAACUGAUGACAUUCCACCACAAAAGAAAUGAAAAUGGCCUGUUCCUGCCUUAACUGAUGACAUUAUCUUGUGAAAUUCCUUCUCCUGGCUCAAAAGCUCCCCUACUGAGCACCUUGUGACCCCCACUCCUGCCUGCCAGAGGACAACCCCCCUUUGACUGUAAUUUUCCUUUACCUACCCAAAUCUUAUAAAAUGGCCCCACCCCUAUCUCCCUUUACUGACUCUCUUUCUGGACUCAGCCCACCUGCACCCAGGUGAUUAAAAGCUUUAUUGCUCACACAAA
ensembl:lncRNA novel transcript